rnacentral:rRNA from 1 species
UGGGGAAUCUUGCGCAAUGGGCGAAAGCCUGACGCAGCGACGCCGCGUGUGGGAUGACGGCCUUCGGGUUGUAAACCACUGUCGGGAGGGACGAAGAUCUGACGGUACCUCCAAAGGAAGCACCGGCUAACUCUGUGCCAGCAGCCGCGGUAAUACAGAGGGUGCGAGCGUUGUCCGGAAUCACUGGGCGUAAAGGGCGCGUAGGCGGCCUGGUAAGUAGAGGGUGAAAUCCUGCGGCUCAACCGCAGGGCUGCCUUCUAAACUGUCAGGCUGGAGCACGGUAGAGGCAGAUGGAAUUCCCGGUGUAGCGGUGGAAUGCGUAGAGAUCGGGAAGAACACCAGUGGCGAAGGCGGUCUGCUGGGCCGUUGCUGACGCUGAGGCGCGACAGCGUGGGGAGCAAACA